rnacentral:rRNA from 1 species
UACGUAGGUGGCGAGCGUUGUCCGGAUUUAUUGGGCGUAAAGCGCGCGCAGGCGGUCGCGUAAGUCUGCUGUGAAAUCUCCCUGGCUCAACCGGGAGGGGGCGGCGGAGACUGCGGGACUGGAGGGACCUAGAGGCCGGUGGAAUUCCCGGUGUAGUGGUGAAAUGCGUAGAUAUCAGGAGGAACACCUGUGGCGAAAGCGGCUCACUGGACCAUAACUGACGCUGAUGCACGAAAGCUAGGGGAGCAAACAGG